rnacentral:rRNA from 1 species
UACGGAGGGUGCGAGCGUUGUCCGGAAUCACUGGGCGUAAAGGGCGCGUAGGUGGCCGAGCAAGGUCGCGGUGAAAGCCCGGGGCUCAACUCCGGGUCGGCCGUGCGAACUGGGGGACUGGAGCUUGUCAGAGGCAGGCGGAAUUCCGGGUGUAGCGGUGGAAUGCGUAGAGAUCCGGAAGAACACCGGUGGCGAAGGCGGCCUGCUGGGACAGUGCUGACGCUGAGGCGCGACAGCGUGGGGAGCAAACAGG